CAACAAUGUCAUUUUUUAUUUAGCAAAAAGUAUUUUAAAGUAGCUGAAGUUUGCUUGUUGGAUUUAAGAGAAACUGGUCCAGGUUCCUGAUAUUAAAAGAUGGAUUUGAUCACAACCAUUCGAACAGCGGCCUUCUUGUCCUACUUCUUAAGGCACAGAGCCAAGUUUCUGUUAUAAAGCCUGGAGCAAAUGAAGUCCCCUCUUUGUGAUGCACUCUGGAAACACCUCUGAUGCUCCUGGACAGUGGCCUCUCGCUUCUAUCAAAGGCCAUCCCCCAAUACAGUUCAAAAGAUGGAUGGUCUCAGGGGUGGAGUCAUCAUGAAAGGUAAGAUCAAAAACACAAUGGGCCGUCCAGCUGCCCAGCCAGGCCUCGAGAGGAAGAGGAAGGACUCCUGAUCUUUGUGGGGGGAAAGUUGACGGGCUUCAUUUGUCUGCUCCGCACACACUGUCCUGCCCCAUCACCCUGGAUUUCUCAUUGCUGGGAAGUGCUUUUAUAAGACCCAGAUGAACUUAUAAGAUGAUGUUGACCUGUAUAUAAAAUUGUAUAUAUAUAAUAUUAUGUUUUACUAAUACUGAUGCAGGACAGUUCAUUUUGUUUUCUUUUCAUUGCUAAUUUUAGGGACUACCUAGAAAAGUUCUGCUUUCUCUUUAUUAUAAAGUAAACAGUGUAUUGAUAUUCAGAGAAAUUGUUUUUCUUUGUUGUGCGUGUUAAAUAUUAGCUGUGUCUGAAUUCGUCCGCUAUCUCCUAUAUACAGUAGUGCACUAAAUCGGGUGUUCGCCAUUUUGUAGUGUUGCUGCAUUAAGCUUGGUUUCUGUUAAGGAUUAGCAUUUACCUGAUAUGUUGGUUUACAACUGGUUUAUGCAAUCCAGAAUUUAUUGUUGCCUCUAUGUCUGCAAGUCAUUCGAACCCUGAGGCUUCAAAGCAGCCUCAAGCUAUUACACACCCACCGUGCUUCAAUGUUUGUUGAACAGUUCAGUUAUUUUGUUGCAAUGCAGUUUUUUACAAAACAAAACAUUUAUUAUUUAUGCCAAAAAGUUACACUUGGUCCCAACUCUAUAGCCUUCUAUUUGGCAAAAAAAACUGAAGCAGGUGAUACUCUCUAUGAAUAUAAGAAUUUGUGAAUGCUUACAUCAGCCAAAGAGAAAAGCACAAUAAAGUACACUCAGAACUGUAAUGAGCAAUCUUGUGUUUGUUUAAUAAGAACCUGAGAAUAAGGAUUGCCAUGUAAUUGUUU